rnacentral:rRNA from 1 species
UCGCCCCUUGUUUUUUUUUAAACAUCGCCUCUUGCAAUUAAGGUAUAAGAGGUUCUGCCGGCCCNGUGACAUUAAGUUUAACGGCCGCGGUAUUAUGACCGUGCAAAGGUAGCGUAAUCACCUUGGUCCUUUUAAAUAAAGACCAGUAUGAAUGGCAAGACGAAAGUUCAACUGUCUCCCUAAAUUAAUCAGUGAAAUUGAUUUCUCCGUGCAGAAGCGGAGAUAUAAUUAUAAGACGAGAAGACCCUAUGGAGCUUUAAACAUAUAAUCAAUUGUAUUUCAUAAAAUCCGAAAGAUAAAAUAUAAAAUAAAACAAUAUGAUUAAAAUUUUAGGUUGGGGCGACCACGGAGAAAACAAAACCUCCGAGAUGAAAAGAAUAUCUUAAUUUAAGAACCACAAUUCCAAAAAAUAAAAUAUUUAACAUAAUUGAUCCAAUAUUUUGAUCAACGAACCAAGUUACCCUAGGGAUAACAGCGCAAUCCUCUCCAAGAGUCCCUAUCGACGAGUGGGUUUACGACCUCGAUGUUGGAUCAGGACACCCCAAUGGUGCAGCCGCUAUUAAAGGUUCGUUUGUUCAACGAUUAAAGUCCUACGUGAUCUACC